AAAUUGAAGAGUUUGAUCAUGGCUCAGAUUGAACGCUGGCGGCAGGCCUAACACAUGCAAGUCGAACGGUAACAGGAAGAAGCUUGCUUCUUUGCUGACGAGUGGCGGACGGGUGAGUAAUGUCUGGGAAACUGCCUGAUGGAGGGGGAUAACUACUGGAAACGGUAGCUAAUACCGCAUAACGUCGCAAGACCAAAGAGGGGGAGCUUCGGGCCUCUUGCCAUCGGAUGUGCCCAGAUGGGAUUAGCUAGUAGGUGGGGUAACGGCUCACCUAGGCGACGAUCCCUAGCUGGUCUGAGAGGAUGACCAGCCACACUGGAACUGAGACACGGUCCAGACUCCUACGGGAGGC
rnacentral:rRNA from 1 species